UGGCCUUGACAUGUCCGGAAUCCAGCAGAGAUGCAGGAGUGCCUUCGGGAAUCGGAACACAGGUGCUGCAUGGCUGUCGUCAGCUCGUGUCGUGAGAUGUUGGGUUAAGUCCCGCAACGAGCGCAACCCUCACCUUCAGUUGCCAUCAUUUAGUUGGGCACUCUGAAGGAACUGCCGGUGACAAGCCGGAGGAAGGUGGGGAUGACGUCAAGUCCUCAUGGCCCUUACGCGCUGGGCUACACACGUGCUACAAUGGUGGUGACAAUGGGUCGCAAGCGUGCGAACGCAAGCUAAUCUCCAAAAGCCAUCUCAGUUCGGAUUGCACUCUGCAACUCGAGUGCAUGAAGUCGGAAUCGCUAGUAAUCGUGGAUCAGCAUGCCACGGUGAAUACGUUCCC
rnacentral:rRNA from 1 species